rnacentral:rRNA from 1 species
AUUGAACGCUGGCGGCAGGCCUAACACAUGCAAGUCGAGCGGAUGAAGGGAGCUUGCUCCUGGAUUCAGCGGCGGACGGGUGAGUAAUGCCUAGGAAUCUGCCUGGUAGUGGGGGAUAACGUCCGGAAACGGGCGCUAAUACCGCAUACGUCCUGAGGGAGAAAGUGGGGGAUCUUCGGACCUCACGCUAUCAGAUGAGCCUAGGUCGGAUUAGCUAGUUGGUGGGGUAAAGGCCUACCAAGGCGACGAUCCGUAACUGGUCUGAGAGGAUGAUCAGUCACACUGGAACUGAGACACGGUCCAGACUCCUACGGGAGGCAGCAGUGGGGAAUAUUGGGCAAUGGGCGAAAGCCUGAUCCAGCCGUGCCGCGUGUGUGAAGAAGGUCUUCGGAUUGUAAAGCACUUUAAGUUGGGAGGAAGGGCAGUAAGUUAAUACCUUGCUGUUUUGACGUUACCAACAGAAUAAGCACCGGCUAACUUCGUG